rnacentral:rRNA from 1 species
UACAGAGGGUGCAAGCGUUAAUCGGAAUUACUGGCGUAAAGCGCACGUAGGCGGUUUUUUAAGUCAGAUGUGAAAGCCCCGGGCUCAACCUGGGAAUUGCAUUUGAAACUGGGAAACUAGAGUGUGUGAGAGGGGGGUAGAAUUCCAAGUGUAGCGGUGAAAUGCGUAGAGAUUUGGAGGAAUACCAGUGGCGAAGGCGGCCCCCUGGCACAACACUGACGCUCAGGUGCGAAAGCGUGGGGAGCAAACAGG